rnacentral:tRNA from 1 species
GCCUUCGUGGUGUAGCGGUCAGCAUGCUCGACGCGUAACCGAGAGGUCCGUGGUUCGAUUCCUGGCGAAGGCA